GCCAUGCUGUGUCCCCCUAAGAAACUCACUUCCCACGUGAACUAUGGUGGGAUUUGAACUAAGGUCCUCAGACGCAGAAGGCUAAUACCACGACCCCAGUAUGUGUCCAUUUGCGUCCAAACAACGUGUCCCUUUUUCAUUUGAGAAAGAUUAAACAUGGAACUGACUAGCUCAGACAGAAAAAAGGAAGCAAACAUAGUGCCAAAAGAAUUGUAAAUUGCACCAGGCAGGGUCUCAGAAUGUCAACAAUGGAAGCUGUACUGGAUAUAUGGGCUGCCAGCUCACAUCAAGAGAACUAUUGGGGAAGAAGAUAUUUUACCAUCACACAUCAUGUGAAAGAUCCAUAUCAAACUAGAGAUGGUUUGCUAGUAAAGCCCUAGCAAAUAUACUAAAGGACACAAUCCUGCAUGGGCAGAAGAUCACCAAACUGGUCAUUUCCACUUUCCUUUUCUGAAGCACGUGGGCCUGAUUCUUCUCUCACUUACACGAGUAUUACCUGUGUCAUUCCACUGACAUCAAGGGAUUACUCUCAAAUGACACCCAUGUGAGAGGAAGGAUGGUCUUGUGGGUUCUGACACAGUUUACAGUCCCAGCUCAGAAUCAGCCAAUAAGUGACGUAAUUGGACCCUGAAAUCCUCUUCUUAAAUUGGAUAGAGCUGCAAGUAUUAUCCAGGUUCUCUGAAUUCUUUUUUUAACACCAGGAAGGAAACAGGCCACAGCAGUAUUAACAGCUGAUGUCUUAAAUUCAUUAUGGGAAUGGCAUAAAAAGCAGUGUAUCAAGGGAGACUGAGUUCAGGUCACACACAUACGUGGCCUUUGGUCUGAGUCAAAAUAAAAAUAGAAG